rnacentral:rRNA from 1 species
GACGGAGGGUGCGAACGUUGUUCGGAAUCACUGGGCAUAAAGAGCACGUAGGCGGUUCGCUAAGUCAGGUGUGAAAGCCCCCGGCUCAACCGGGGAACUGCUCCUGAUACUGGCGAGCUAGAGAACGGUAGGGGUGAGUGGAACUCCAGGUGGAGCGGUGAAAUGCGUAGAUAUCUGGAGGAACACCGGUGGCGAAAGCGGCUCACUGGACCGUCACUGACGCUGAGGUGCGAAAGCUAGGGGAGCGAACGGG